rnacentral:rRNA from 1 species
GACGAACGCUGGCGGCGUGCUUAACACAUGCAAGUCGAACGGAAAGGCCCUGCUUUUGUGGGGUGCUCGAGUGGCGAACGGGUGAGUAACACGUGAGUAACCUGUCCUUGACUUUGGGAUAACUUCAGGAAACUGGGGCUAUUACCGGAUAGGAGCUCCUGCUGCAUGGUGGGGGUUGGAAAGUUUCGGCGGUUGGGGAUGGACUCGCGGCUUAUCAGCUUGUUGGUGGGGUAGUGGCUUACCAAGGCUUUGACGGGUAGCCGGCCUGAGAGGGUGACCGGCCACAUUGGGACUGAGAUACGGCCCAGACUCCUACGGGAGGCAGCAGUGGGGAAUAUUGCACAAUGGGCGGAAGCCUGAGGCAGCAACGCCGCGUGCGGGAUGACGGCCUUCGGGUUGUAAACCGCUUUCGCCUGUGACGAAGCGUGAGUGACGGUAAUGGGUAAAGAAGCACCGGCUAACUACGUG